rnacentral:rRNA from 1 species
AUUGAACGCUGGCGGAAUGCUUUACACAUGCAAGUCGAGCGGCAGCACGGGGGCAACCCUGGUGGCGAGCGGCGAACGGGUGAGUAAUACAUCGGAACAUGCCCAGUCGUGGGGGAUAACACUUCGAAAGAAGUGCUAAUACCGCAUACGUCCUGAGGGAGAAAGCGGGGGAUCUUCGGACCUCGCGCGAUUGGAGUGGCCGAUGUCAGAUUAGCUAGUUGGUGGGGUAAAGGCCUACCAAGGCAACGAUCUGUAGCUGUUCUGAGAGGAUGAUCAGCCACACUGGGACUGAGACUCGGCCCAGAUUCCUACGGGAGGCAGCAGUGGGGAAUUUUGGACAAUGGGGGCAACCCUGAUCCAGCCAUUCCGCGUGAGUGAAGAAGGCCUUCGGGUUGUAAAGCUCUUUCGGCAGGAACGAAACGGCGAGCUCUAACAUAGCUUGCUAAUGACGGUACCUGAAGAAGAAGCACCGGCUAACUACGUGCCAGCCGCCGCCGUAAGAC